rnacentral:misc_RNA from 1 species
CCCCCACCGGUUGUUUUGGGUCCUUGUAUUUCACAUGCUCAGCUUCUACCAUUGCUAUCCACACCCAUAACCACAAGAUCCCCAUUACUUCAACCACAAAAACCCUAGACAUCUUCACUUCCCAAGUCUUUUUCUAGAGCAGCAGCAGAAGAAGCACAAAAAUGCAAGGGGAAAUGGAAAACUGAAUUGUUCACAAGCAGUUGAUUUCUUGGUGGUGGGUAUUGUCGUUGCUUGAAAAGCAUUUUCUUUAUUGGUUUCUUGAUUGUGAUAGAAACUGGACUCAGAUCGUGGUCGAGACCGUCAUUUUUUCAUCUCGAGACGGGCGGGCGACG